rnacentral:rRNA from 1 species
GACGAACGCUGGCGGCAGGCUUAACACAUGCAAGUCGAGCGCCCCGCAAGGGGAGCGGCGGACGGGUGAGUAACGCGUGGGAAUCUACCCAUCUCUACGGAAUAACGCAUGGAAACGUGUGCUAAUACCGUAUACGUCCUUCGGGAGAAGGAUUUAUCGGAGAUGGAUGAGCCCGCGUUGGAUUAGCUAGUUGGUGGGGUAAGGGCCUACCAAGGCGACGAUCCAUAGCUGGUCUGAGAGGAUGAUCAGCCACACUGGGACUGAGACACGGCCCGGAAUCCUACGGGAGGCAGCCGAGGGUAAUAUAGGACAAUGGGCGCAAGCCUGAUCCAGCCAGGCCGCGUGAGUGAUGUAGGCCCUAGGGAUGUAAAGCUCUUUCACCGGUGAAGAUAAUGACGGUAACCGAAGAAGAAGCCCCGGCUAACUUCGUGCCAGCCGCCACAGUAAAAC